rnacentral:lncRNA from 1 species
UGUUGUUGACUGGUUAUAAUGUGUGGUGUGAUUGAAAACCUGAGGAUUGUUAAAGAUUGAUAAAUUAAAAUGUUUAGAAUCUUUCCCAGGAUACUUUAAGAGCUUUGUUUGGUGACUGAAUGUGCUUAAUAUGCUUAGCUCCAGUUCAUAGUGAUGCUUAGUGUGAUUAAUUGAAUCUGCUUGCAUACAUGGAUUGAAACUGAAUUUAAAGCUGUUGCAUAUAGUCUUGUGGCUGUCUUACAUUGAAGCAUUAGAUUCAUGUCUAAAGUGCUGAGUAAAGAAGCUUUAAAAGUGUCUAAGUAACUUGUCUUGAAUCUGGUAGGAUCUUGCAUGUACUUAGAGAGUUAGCUUGCAAAGAAUAGAACUUGAUAAUGCCUUGUGUCUAUCUGUUGCAUUGCUUGUGAUAUUGGGAAUCAAACUUGAUGAUUUAUUAAUCAAGUUUUGACAUCAAUACUAUU